GGAGAGGUACCGAAGAGGCCGUAACGGGGUCGACUCGAAAUCGACUUGUCCUGUGAAGAGCAGGGCACGUGGGUUCGAAUCCCACCCUCUCCGCCA
rnacentral:tRNA from 1 species